rnacentral:rRNA from 1 species
GAUGAACGCUAGCUACAGGCUUAACACAUGCAAGUCGAGGGGCAGCACGGAGAUAGCUUGCUAUCUUGGGUGGCGACCGGCGCACGGGUGAGUAACGCGUAUCCAACCUGCCCAUUACUCUGGGAUAGCCUUGCGAAAGUAAGAUUAAUACCGGAUGUUGUUAAAAACCCGCAUGAGUUUUCAACCAAAGAUUUAUUGGUAAUGGAUGGGGAUGCGUGACAUUAGGUAGUUGGUGAGGUAACGGCGCACCAAGCCGACGAUGUCUAGGGGUUUUGAGAGGAAGGUCCCCCACACUGAAACUGAGACACGGUCCAGACUCCUACGGGAGGCAGCAGUGAGGAAUAUUGGUCAAUGGACGAGAGUCUGAACCAGCCAAGUAGCGUGCAGGAUGACGGCCCUCUGGGUUGUAAACUGCUUUUAGUUGGGAAUAAAAAGAGGGACGUGUCCCUAAUUGUAUGUACCAUCAGAAAAAGGACCGGCUAAUUCCGUGCCAGCAGCUGCCGUAAAAC